GUAGGGUGCAGGCGUUAAUCGGAAUUACUGGGCGUAAAGCGUGCGCAGGCGGUUUGCUAAGACAGGUGUGAAAUCCCCGGGCUUAACCUGGGAACUGCGCUUGUAACUAGCAGGCUAGAGUGKGGCAGAGGGGGGKGGAAUUCCACGUGUAGCAGUGAAAUGCGUAGAGAUGUGGAGGAACACCGAUGGCGAAGGCAGCCCCCUGGGCUAACACUGACGCUCAUGCACGAAAGCGUGGGGAGCAAACAGGAUUAGAUACCCUGGUAGUCCACGCCCUAAACUAUGUCAACUGGUUGUCGGGGAAGCAAUUCCUUGGUAACGAAGCUAACGCGUGAAGUUGACCGCCUGGGGAGUACGGCCGCAAGGUUA
rnacentral:rRNA from 1 species